rnacentral:rRNA from 1 species
UCCCAGCAGUCCAAGUCGCAGCCACUUUUAUUGGGUCUAAAACAUCCGUAGCUUGCUUUGUAAGUCUCUUGUGAAAUCGGGCAUCUUAAGUGUCCGGCAGGCAAGAGAUACUGCUUAGCUAGAGACCGGGAGGCGCAAGAAGUACAGAUGGGGUAGCGGUAAAAUGUGUUGAUCCCAUUUGGACUAACAAUCGCGAAGGCAUCUUGCGAGAACGGAUCUGACAGUGAGGGAUGAAGGCUAGGGGC